GCUGCUUCAGCAACAGCAGCUAUUCCUGCAGCUACAGAUCCUCAGCCAGCAGCAACAGCAGCAGCAACAGCAGCAACAGCAGCAGCAGCAACAGCAGCAACAGCAACGG
rnacentral:miRNA from 14 species